GACGAACGCUGGCGGCGUGCUUAACACAUGCAAGUCGAGCGGUAAGGCCCUUUCGGGGUACGACGAGCGGCGAACGGGUGAGUAACACGUGGGUGACCUGCCCUCCAGCUCUGGGAGUAAGCCUGGGAAACCGGGUCUAAUACCGGAUAUGACUCCAUGACGCAUGUUGUGGGGUGGAAAGCCUUGUGCGGCUGAGGAUGGGCCCGCGGCCUAUCAGCUUGUUGGUGGGGUGAUGGCCUACCAAGGCGACGACGGGUAGCCGGCCUGAGAGGGCGACCGGCCACACUGGGACUGAGACA
rnacentral:rRNA from 1 species